UAAUAGACUACCCUGGUAGUCCACGCCCUAAACGAUGCGAACUGGAUGUUGGGUACAUUACGGUACUCAGUGUCGAAGCUAACGCGUUAAGUUCGCCGCCUGGGGAGUACGGUCGCAAGACUGAAACUCAAAGGAAUUGACGGGGGCCCGCACAAGCGGUGGAGUAUGUGGUUUAAUUCGAUGCAACGCGAAGAACCUUACCUGGCCUUGACAUCUGUCGAAUCCUGCAGAGAUGCGGGGAGUGCCGCAAGGAACGACAAGACAGGUGCUGCAUGGCUGUCGUCAGCUCGUGUCGUGAGAUGUUGGGUUAAGUCCCGCAACGAGCGCAACCCUUGUCCCUAGUUGCCAGCACGUAAUGGUGGGAACUCUAGGGAGACUGCCGGUGACAAACCGGAGGAAGGUGGGGAUGACGUCAAGUCCUCAUGGCCCUUACGGCCAGGGCUACACACGUACUACAAUGGUCGGUACAGAGGGUUGCGAGCCGCGAGGUGGAGCCAUCCCAGAAACCGAUCCCAGUCCGGAUCGGAGU
rnacentral:rRNA from 1 species